UGUAGCAGCCAUAUCACCCUGUAGCCCAAGACUGGUUGCCCACUGAAGCUAAGCAGGGCUGAGCCUGGUCAGUACCUGGAUGGGAGACCUCCUGAGAAAACUAGGUUGCUGCUGGAA
rnacentral:rRNA from 1 species